rnacentral:rRNA from 1 species
GACGAACGCUGGCGGCGUGCUUAACACAUGCAAGUCGAACGGAAAGGCCCUGCUUUUGUGGGGUGCUCGAGUGGCGAACGGGUGAGUAACACGUGAGUAACCUGCCCUUGACUUUGGGAUAACUUCAGGAAACUGGGGCUAAUACCGGAUAGGAGCUCCUGCUGCAUGGUGGGGGUUGGAAAGUUUCGGCGGUUGGGGAUGGACUCGCGGCUUAUCAGCUUGUUGGUGGGGUAGUGGCUUACCAAGGCUUUGACGGGUAGCCGGCCUGAGAGGGUGACCGGCCACAUUGGGACUGAGAUACGGCCCAGACUCAUACGGGAGGCAGGAGUGGGGAAUAUUGCACAAUGGGCGGAAGCGUGAUGCAGCAACGCCGCGUGCGGGAUGACGGCCUUCGGGUGGUAAACCGCUUUCGCCUGUGACGAAGCGUGAGUGACGGUAAUGGGUAAAGAAGCACCGGCUAACUACGU